AACUAGAUGUGGAUGAGUCGCUCAUUCAGCCAUUGAGGACCCACACAUGGGAAACAUCUAGAAUUAGUCUUAUUUUGGCUGAAGAUGGCAAGAUGAAACACGUCUCGAUGAGUGACUCAAUGCAAGAUCCUGCCAUUUGAUGACCAAAAAUCAGCAGCAAAGAUGUGAACCUGAACUGUUUAGCCUGGAGGGGGCAUCUGGAGCCUUUCCCAUGUCAGCAGCGAAUGGCACGGACUGGACGGGGUCCUCGUGUGUCGCAGGGGACAUGAACAAGCCAAUCAGAGGUGGGGAGAAAGUCAGACUCGCACACCAGGAGAUGUAAGGAGUUGCGCAGAUGGUGUUUCUAUGAAGUUCUUUGUCGAGGAAGCGUCCAGAACCACAACAGAAGCAAGUGGAGAAGAUUGCAUGAUUAAUUAAACAUCUGUGUCGGCAUUGUGGG